GCCUAAAUAGUUUAUGUAUAAAAUUUUGAUUUGUGGUGUCAAGGAGGCAGGAUUGCUUUAGGUA
rnacentral:tRNA from 1 species